CACUAGGGAUGUAACGGUAUUAUAAAUUUCGUGGUAUUGCGGUAGAAGAUUUUCCCGGUACCACCGUGGUCACAUGAUCGGUAAAACGUUAGGUCUUCCGGGCAACACGUGUAGUUUUUUUCCGGUCAAGUAAAGCGAGUGGAGGGACGCGGGAACUACAAUUCCCAUAAUCCCAUGCGUGCUACUCUGACGCCUCCUCUCUACAAGCGGCAAUGGCGGAAGCAAAAGAAACACGGACUUUAAAUCUGAUGUGUCGAAAAAGUUCGCGUUCGCUGUGACAAGAAACGAGGAAGGACAAAAUGUGAUGGACAUUCAAAAAACGAGAAUUGACCCAUCUUAAAACCCAUCAUCUUUUCUUGAUUCUACAAUCACAACCGUUGCUUUCAUAGGAGUACCAAGCAUUAGCAUUAAUAUUAAUAAUAAUAAAAACUAGGUCAAUUGAGGGAGUCACUCAAUUCUUAAAACCUGACUGAUUGGGAGUUGUUUAAAGUCGACAAACUAAAAUGAAACUUAAUUUUUC